rnacentral:rRNA from 1 species
UACAGAGACUGCAAGCGUUAUUCGGAUUCACUGGGCGUAAAGGGUGCGUAGGUGGCUUGACAAGUUUGAUGUGAAAUCUCCGGGCUUAACCCGGAAAAUGCAUUGAAUACUGUAGAGGCUUGAGGUUUGGAGGGGGGACUGGAAUUCUCGGUGUAGCAGUGAAAUGCGUAGAUAUCAAGAGGAACACCAGUGGCGAAGGCGAGUCCCUGGACGAUACCUGACACUGAGGCGCGAAAGCCAAGGGAGCAAACAGG